GACGAAAAAGAAGAAAAGGAAUGGCCUCUAUACAAAGCUAUCGCCGAAGGAGGGGUUUUGCGUUCUGAUUAGCUGGUUGGAGGGGUAACGGCCCAACAAGGCGAUGAUCAGUAGCCGGUCUGAGAGGAUGAACGGCCACAUUGGGACUGAGACACGGCCCAGACUCCUACGGGAGGCAGCAGUGGGGAAUCUUCCGCAAUGGACGAAAGUCUGACGGAGCAACGCCGCGUGAGUGAAGAAGGUCUUCGGAUUGUAAAGCUCUGUUAUACGGGACGAAAAAGACGGAUGCCAACAGUAUCCGUCCGUGACGGUACCGUAAGAGAAAGCCACGGGCUAACUACGUGCCAGCAGCCGCGGUAAAU
rnacentral:rRNA from 1 species